rnacentral:rRNA from 1 species
CCCAGUGGCGGACGGGUGAGUAACGCGUGGGCAACCUGCCCCGUGCCGGGGGAUACCGCCUGGAAACAGGCGCUAAUACCGCAUAAGCGCAUACAGCCGCAUGGGUGUAUGCGGAAAGCUCCGGCGGCACGGGAUGGGCCCGCGCCCGAUUAGCCAGUUGGCGGGGUAACGGCCCACCAAAGCGACGAUCGGUAGCCGGCCUGAGAGGGCGGACGGCCACAUUGGGACUGAGACACGGCCCAAACUCCUACGGAAGGCAGCAG